GGUGGCUGGCCUGACCUUGAUCAUCUGCCUGUGGGGCUCCCUGGGGCACAGUUGGGAAUUUGUCCAUGGCACUGGGGCCUGGGCAUGGGAGGCAAGGCCGGGCAGUGGGAGGUGCCCUGAAUUGGUGAUCCAGCCACUUAAGCACUGAACCUCAAUACAGGAGACGUCACAGGAUUGCUGUAAGGAUCUAAAGAGCUGCCUCAGAAGAGAAGAAGGAACGGACACAAAUGAAAAUCAGAACACUAAAGAGAUUCAAAGAUUUGUCAUUUCCCUUCUGCUCAUGAAGGCCCUUGAUAGCUACACACGCAGUCAAGGCAACAAGCAAGCCUUCCACAUCCACGGUGGAUGGAGGCGCUCUUGAAAGGGGAGCCUUAGGAUGAAGGGAAAGGAAAAUGACCAGAAGGAAAGGACGGUGGGAGCGUAAAGAAGACUGACCUUGCACAGGGAAGGUGUGGACUUCUAGCCCAGCUAGAGCUGGAUGUCUGCUUGCCCGACCCCGUGUCCUUGAGAAGGUCAGCUUCGAAGCCUCAGUCUCCCCACCUAUGAAACGAGGAUGCGGGUCUCCAACUCACCCACAGUGCGGCCCCCUCGAAAGACUCA
rnacentral:lncRNA from 1 species